rnacentral:snRNA from 1 species
ACCCGUCUGAUAGCGCUUA